rnacentral:rRNA from 1 species
UACGUAGGGGGCAAGCGUUGUCCGGAUUUAUUGGGCGUAAAGAGCGUGUAGGCGGCUAUACAGGUCCGUUGUGAAAACUGGAGGCUUAACCUCCAGACGUCGAUGGAAACCGGAUGGCUAGAGUCCGGAAGAGGAGAGUGGAAUUCCUGGUGUAGCGGUGAAAUGCGCAGAUAUCAGGAAGAACACCCGUGGCGAAGGCGGAUCUCUGGGACGGUACUGACGCUGAGACGCGAAAGCGUGGGGAGCGAACAGG